AAAAAUAGUAGAACACUCUUAUUUUUAUAAUUACAUUUACAAACGGCUAGGAAAGCAAUACAUGACAAACAAUAAAUGUCAAUCCUAGUUAUAAUAAAACUGUGGUUCUAACAUUUCCUAACAACACUUAUAUUGGCGACAUGUAACGACGCUUUUUUUUUUUAAUAAAAAAUGUAUAUUUCUCAAUGACAUGUUUUCUUUUCAAAAUCCAUUUUUCUUGCCGUGGAUCCUGAAAAACAAAUUCCAGAUGACACCUCACUCCAACAGAAACUAAAAAAAAAAAAAAAAGACACAUGAAGUUCCACUAAAAUAUUAAAAAAAGGCUUUUUCCUAAACAAAUUUUGGUGAGUAGAAACCCUAUCCCAAAGUAAUUGCAAAGAAAAGGCUAUCACUUCCAACUUAACUCUUAACUUAUGUAUAGUCGCAUAUACAUUUAUUGAUCAAGCACAUCGCAUAUAUUGGAUCGAAACAGUAAGACUCACACUCACUAUCAUUAGUGCAGUAACGUGCAAAUCCUAUGAUAUAAACAACACAAACAAAGGCAUGUUACAAAAAGAAACGAAAAGAUUAAACCAACUUUUUCAAAAGAAUGAGAAAAGAAACGUACCACCGUUGACUACGACAAAAAAUAGGGAUAUUAAGAGAAUGAUAACACUAACAAACUUGAUAAAUUGAGCCAUAUUUGUUUCCUCUUUGCUUA
rnacentral:lncRNA from 1 species